UACGAAGGGUGCAAGCGUUACUCGGAAUUACUGGGCGUAAAGCGUGCGUAGGUGGUGCGUUAAGUCUGUCGUGAAAGCCCCGGGCUCAACCUGGGAAUGGCGAUGGAUACUGGCGCGCUAGAGUGCGGUAGAGGAGAGUGGAAUUCCCCGGUGUAGCAGUGAAAUGCGUAGAGAUCGGGAGGAACAUCAGUUGCGAAGGCGGCUCUCUGGACCAGCACUGACACUGAGGCACGAAAAGCGUGGGGGAGCAAAACAGG
rnacentral:rRNA from 1 species